rnacentral:rRNA from 1 species
UACGUAGGUGGCAAGCGUUACUCGGAAUCACUAGGCGUAAAGCGCAGGUAGGCGGUUCGAUAAGUCUCUUGUUAAAGCUCCCGGCUUAACUGGGAGAGGUCAAGGGAAACUGUCGGACUAGAGUGUGGUAGAGGGUGCUGGAAUUCCCGGUGUAGCGGUGAAAUGCGUAGAGAUCGGGAGGAAUACCUAUGGCGAAAGCAGGCACCUGGGCCAUCACUGACGCUGAGCUGCGAAAGCUAGGGGAGCAAACAGG